rnacentral:rRNA from 2 species
GAUGAACGCUGGCUGUGUGCCUAAUACAUGCAUGUCGAGCGGAAGUAGCAAUACUUUAGCGGCGAAUGGGUGAGUAACACGUGCUUAAUCUACCCUUUAGACUGGAAUAACUAAUGGAAACAUUGGCUAAUGCCGGAUGCGCAUGGAAUCGCAUGAUUCCGUUGUGAAAGGAGCCUCAAAGCUCCACUAGAGGAUGAGGGUGCGGAACAUUAGCUUGUUGGUGAGGUAACGGCCCACCAAGGCAAUGAUGUUUAGCCGGGUCGAGAGACUGAACGGCCACAUUGGGACUGAGAUACGGCCCAAACUCCUACGGGAGGCAGCAGUAGGGAAUAUUCCACAAUGAGCGAAAGCUUGAUGGAGCGACACAGCGUGCACGAUGACGGUCUUCGGAUUGUAAAGUGCUGUUAUAGGGGAAGAACACUUAGUUGAGGAAAUGCUUCUAAGCUGACGGUACCCUGUCAGAAAGCGAUGGCUAACUAUGUGCCAGCAGCCGCGGUAAUACAUAGGUCGCAAGCGUUAUCCGGAAUUAUUGGGCGUAAAGCGUUCGUAGGCUGUUUAUUAAGUCUGGAGUUAAAUCCCAGGGCUCAACCCUGGCUCGCUUUGGAUACUGGUAAACUAGAGUUAGAUAGAGGUAAGCGGAAUUCCAUGUGAAGCGGUGAAAUGCGUAGAUAUAUGGAAGAACACCAAAGGCGAAGGCAGCUUGCUGGGUCUAUACUGACGCUGAGGGACGAAAGCGUGGGGAGCAAACAGGAUUAGAUACCCUGGUAGUCCACGCCGUAAACGAUGAUCAUUAGUCGGUGGAUUAAUCACUGACGCAGCUAACGCAUUAAAUGAUCCGCCUGAGUAGUAUGCUCGCAAGAGUGAAACUUAAAGGAAUUGACGGGGACCCGCACAAGCGGUGGAGCAUGUGGUUUAAUUUGAAGAUACGCGGAGAACCUUACCCACUCUUGACAUCCUUCGCAAAGCUAUAGAGAUAUAGUGGAGGUUAACGGAGUGACAGAUGGUGCAUGGUUGUCGUCAGCUCGUGUCGUGAGAUGUUUGGUCAAGUCCUGCAACGAGCGCAACCCCUAUCUUUAGUUACUAACGAGUCAUGUCGAGGACUCUAGAGAUACUGCCUGGGUAACUGGGAGGAAGGUGGGGAUGACGUCAAAUCAUCAUGCCUCUUACGAGUGGGGCAACACACGUGCUACAAUGGUCGGUACAAAGAGAAGCAAUAUGGCGACAUGGAGCAAAUCUCAAAAAGCCGAUCUCAGUUCGGAUUGGAGUCUGCAAUUCGACUCCAUGAAGUCGGAAUCGCUAGUAAUCGCAGAUCAGCUAUGCUGCGGUGAAUACGUUCUCGGGUCUUGUACACACCGCCCGUCACACCAUGGGAGCUGGUAAUACCCAAAGUCGGUUUGCUAACCUCGGAGGCGACUGCCUAAGGUAGGACUGGUGACUGGGGUGAAG